AUUGAACGCUGGCGGCAGGCUUAACACAUGCAAGUCGAGCGGAGAUGAGGUGCUUGCACCUUAUCUUAGCGGCGGACGGGUGAGUAAUGCUUAGGAAUCUGCCUAUUAGUGGGGGACAACAUUCCGAAAGGAAUGCUAAUACCGCAUACGCCCUACGGGGGAGAGCAGGGGAUCUUCGGACCUUGCGCUAAUAGAUGAGCCUAAGUCGGAUUAGCUAGUUGGUGGGGUAAAGGCCUACCAAGGCGACGAUCUGUAGCGGGUCUGAGAGGAGGAUCCGCCACACUGGGACUGAGACACGGCCCAGACUCCCACGGGAGGCAGCAGUGGGGAAUAUUGGACAAUGGGCGGAAGCCUGAUCUAGCCAUGCCGCGUGUGUGAAGAAGGCCUUUUGGUUGUAAAGCACUUUAAGCGAGGAGGAGGCUACCUGGAUUAAUACUCUAGGAUAGUGGACGUUACUCGCAGAAUAAGCACCGGCUAACUCUGUGCCAGCCGCCGCAGUAACAC
rnacentral:rRNA from 1 species